GAUGAACGCUAGCGGCGCGCCUUAUGCAUGCAAGUCGUACGGUUUAUCGCAAGAUAGACAGUGGCAAACGGGUGAGUAAUAGUUAGGUAACCUGCCUUUAAGUGGGGGAUAACACUUCGAAAGAAGUGCUAAUACCGCAUGUGGUGCUCUUUCAUAAGAAGGAUCACUAAAACCGCAAGGUGCUUGAAGAGGGGCCUGACUCCGAUUAGCUAGUUGGUGAGGUAACGGCCCACCAAGGCUGGGAUCGGUAGCUGGUCUGAGAGGAUGGUCAGCCACACUGGGACUGAGACACGGCCCAGACUCCUACGGGAGGCAGCAGCAAGGAAUCUUGGGCAAUGGGCGAAAGCCUGACCCAGCGACGCCGCGUGAGGGAUGAAGGCCUUCGGGUUGUAAACCUCUUUUCUCAGGGAAGAAUAAUGACGGUACCUGAGGAAUAAGUCUCGGCUAACUACGUGCCAGCCGCCGCAGUAACAC
rnacentral:rRNA from 1 species